UACGAAGGGGGCAAGCGUUGUUCGGAAUUAUUGGGCGUAAAGGGAGCGUAGGCGGGUCUUUAAGUCAGGGGUGAAAUCCUGGAGCUCAACUCCAGAACUGCCUUUGAUACUGCAAGUCUCGAGUCCGAUAGAGGUGGGUGGAAUUCCUAGUGUAGAGGUGAAAUUCGUAGAUAUUAGGAAGAACACCGGUGGCGAAGGCGGCCCACUGGAUCGGUACUGACGCUGAGGUGCGAAAGCGUGGGGAGCAAACAGG
rnacentral:rRNA from 1 species